CCUACGGGUGGCAGCAGUAGGGAAUCUUUCACAAUGGGCGAAAGCCUGAUGGAGCAACGCCGCGUGCAGGAUGAAGGCCUUCGGGUUGUAAACUGCUUUUAUAAGCGAGAAAUAUGAUGGUAACUUAUGAAUAAGGCUCGGCUAACUACGUGCCAGCAGCCGCGGUUAUACGUAGGAUCCGAGCAUUAUCCGGAGUGACUGGGUGUGAAGAGUUGCGUAGGUGGCAUAAUAAGUAGCUAGUGUAAUCUGGUGGCUCAACCAUUCAGACUAUUGGCUAAACUGUUAAGCUCGAGACCGUUAGGGGUAACUGGAAUUUCUGGUGUAGGGGUGAAAUGCGUAGAUAUUAGAAGGAACACCAAUAGCGAAGGCAGGUUGCUGGGACGGUUCUGACGCUAAGGCACGAAAGCGUAGGGAGCGAACGGGAUUAGAUACCCUUGUAGUC
rnacentral:rRNA from 1 species